rnacentral:rRNA from 1 species
AUUGAACGCUGGCGGCAGGCCUAACACAUGCAAGUCGAGCGAGCGGCGGACGGGUGAGUAAUGCCUAGGAAUCUGCCCGGUAGUGGGGGAUAACGUCCGGAAACGGGCGCUAAUACCGCAUACCAUCGGAUGUGCCCAGGUGGGAUUAGCUAGUAGGUGGGGUAAAGGCGCACCUAGGCGACGAGCCCUAGCUGAUCUGCGCGGAUGACCAGCCACACUGGAAGUGAGACACGGUCCAGACUCCUACGGGAGGCAGCAGUGGGGAAGAUUGCACGAUGGGUGCAAGCCUGAGGCAGCCAAGCCGCGUGUAUGAAGAAGGCCUUCGGGUUGUAAAGUACUUUCAGCGGGGAGGCGUUAGCCGCAGAAGAAGCACCGGCUAACUCCGUGCCAGCAGCCGCGGUAAUUC